UUGACGGGGCCCGCACAAGCGGUGAGCAUGUGGUUUAAUUCGACGAUACGCGAAGAACCUUACCCGGGUUUGACAUUGUAUCGAAGCAUCCAGAGAUGGAUGUGUCUCUUCGGAGACGGUAUGACAGGUGCUGCAUGGCUGUCGUCAGCUCGUGCCGUGAGGUGUUGGGUUAAGUCCCGCAACGAGCGCAACCCUUGUGUUUUAGUUGCAAACAGGUCAGGCUGUGCACUCUAGACAGACUGCCGUGGACAACACGGAGGAAGGUGGGGAUGACGUCAAAUCAUCAUGCCCCUUAUGAUCUGGGCUACACACGUGCUACAAUGGCCGGUACAACGGGCAGCGAAGGAGCGAUCCGGAGCGAAUCCUAAAAAGCCGGUCCCAGUUCGGAUUGCAGGCUGAAACUCGCCUACAUGAAGUUGGAGUUGCUAGUAAUCGCGAAUCAGAAUGUCGCGGUGAAUGCGUUCCCGGGUCUU
rnacentral:rRNA from 1 species